CUAUUUCAAAUCGAUUUUAAGCUCCUACAAUUAACGUGGGCAAUAUCGGUUUACUACUCAUUGCCUUCGUUGACUUUGGGUGACAGGCAAUGCCGGAUUCAAACGAGCAGGCACAAGACGUGUGUUUAAUCUAGUAUGGUGAAGAUGGUUAGCCUUUGCUUUUUUAUUAUUUUGACAAUGCCAAUGCAUAUAACUGCCGGGAAUGGUA